AUUGAACGCUGGCGGCAGGCCUAACACAUGCAAGUCGAGCGGAGCGGCGGACGGGUGAGUAAUGCCUAUGAAUCUGCCUGGUAGUGGGGGAUAACGUUCGGAAACGGGCGCUAAUACCGCAUACCCUCACAUUAACCCAUAUGGGAUGAGCUUGUAGGUGAGGUAACGGCUCACCUAGGCGACGAUCCCUAGCUGGUCUGAGAGGAUGAUCAGCCACACUGGGACUGAGACACGGCCCAGACUCCGACGGGAGGCAGCAGUGGGGAAUAUUGCACAAGGGGCGCAAGCCUGAUGCAGCCAUGCCGCGUGUAUGAAGAAGGCCUUCGGAUUGUAAAGUACUUUCAGUCGGGAGGCGUUACCGACAGAAGAAGCACCGGCUAACUCCGUGCCAGCCGCCGCGGUAAUUC
rnacentral:rRNA from 1 species